rnacentral:rRNA from 1 species
GGUACGCGCGGAUCUUCCAGAGAUUAGAGUUUGAUCCUGGCUCAGAUUGAACGCUGGCGGCAGGCCUAACACAUGCAAGUCGAACGGUAACAGGAAACAGCUUGCUGUUUCGCUGACGAGUGGCGGACGGGUGAGUAAUGUCUGGGAAACUGCCUGAUGGAGGGGGAUAACUACUGGAAACGGUAGCUAAUACCGCAUAACGUCGCAAGACCAAAGAGGGGGACCUUCGGGCCUCUUGCCAUCGGAUGUGCCCAGAUGGGAUUAGCUAGUAGGUGGGGUAACGGCUCACCUAGGCGACGAUCCCUAGCUGGUCUGAGAGGAUGACCAGCCACACUGGAACUGAGACACGGUCCAGACUCCUACGGGAGGCAGCAGUGGGGAAUAUUGCACAAUGGGCGCAAGCCUGAUGCAGCCAUGCCGCGUGUAUGAAGAAGGCCUUCGGGUUGUAAAGUACUUUCAGCGGGGAGGAACGGAGUCAAGCGACUCGCUUUGCUCAUUG